rnacentral:rRNA from 12 species
GGAGAUUUGAGAGGAGCUGCUCCUAGUACGAGAGGACCGGAGUGGACGAACCUCUGGUGUUCCGGUUGUCACGCCAGUGGCACUGCCGGGUAGCUACGUUCGGACGGGAUAACCGCUGAAAGCAUCUAAGCGGGAAGCCUCCCUCAAGAUGAGAUCUCCCUGGGCACUUGAUGCCCCUAAAGGGCCGUGGAAGACCACCACGUUGAUAGGCGGGAUGUG